UACGUAGGGUGCAAGCGUUGUCCGGAAUUAUUGGGCGUAAAGAGCCCGUAGGUGGCCUGUCGCGUCGGCUGUGAAAACUCGGGGCUCAACUCCGAGCUUGCAGUCGAUACGGGCAGGCUAGAGUUCGGCAGGGGAGACUGGAAUUCCUGGUGUAGCGGUGAAAUGCGCAGAUAUCAGGAGGAACACCGGUGGCGAAGGCGGGUCUCUGGGCCGAUACUGACACUGAGGAGCGAAAAGCGUGGGGGAGCGAAACAGG
rnacentral:rRNA from 1 species